rnacentral:rRNA from 1 species
GAUGAACGCUGGCGGCGUGCUUAACACAUGCAAGUCGAACGAUGAAGCCCAGCUUGCUGGGUGGAUUAGUGGCGAACGGGUGAGUAACACGUGAGUAACCUGCCCUUAACUCUGGGAUAAGCCUGGGAAACUGGGUCUAAUACCGGAUAGGAGCGUCCACCGCAUGGUGGGUGUUGGAAAGAUUUAGCGGUUUUGGAUGGACUCGCGGCCUAUCAGCUUGUUGGGGAGGUAAUGGCUCACCAAGGCGACGACGGGUAGCCGGCCUGAGAGGGUGACCGGCCACACUGGGACUGAGACACGGCCCAGACUCCUACGGGAGGCAGCAGUGGGGAAUAUUGCACAAUGGGCGAAAGCCUGAUGCAGCAACGCCGCGUGAGGGAUGACGGCCUUCGGGUUGUAAACCUCUUUCAGUAGGGAAGAAGCGAAAGUGACGGUACCUGCAGAAGAAGCACCGGCUAACUACGUG